UCGCUGCCACCAUUGAGCCCAAUGACUUCGUCACCGUCUACACAAAGCCCCAUAAGCCCUGUUGCUGGUUCAAAUAGCUCUCCGUUAUUGCGCACCCGAAAUCGCU